rnacentral:rRNA from 1 species
CGACCGGCGCACGGGUGAGUAACGCGUAUGUAAUCUGCCUUGUACAGAGGGAUAGCCCAGAGAAAUUUGGAUUAAUACCUCAUAGUAUUACUGAAUCGCAUGAUUCGGUAAUUAAAGCUCCGGCGGUACAAGAUGAACAUGCGUGACAUUAGCUAGUUGGUAAGGUAACGGCUUACCAAGGCAACGAUGUCUAGGGGUUCUGAGAGGAUGAUCCCCCACACUGGUACUGAGACACGGACCAGACUCCUACGGGAGGCAGCAGUGAGGAAUAUUGGUCAAUGGACGCAAGUCUGAACCAGCCAUCCCGCGUGAAGGAUGACUGCCCUAUGGGUUGUAAACUUCUUUUAUAU